rnacentral:rRNA from 1 species
AGAGUUUGAUCCUGGCUCAGAUUGAACGCUGGCGGCAUGGUUAAAACAUGCAAGUCGAACGAGAAACAGACUUCGGUCUGUGGACAGUGGCGAAAGGGCGAGUAAUGCGUUUCUAACGUGCCCAGAGGUCAGGGAUAGCCCAGGGAAACUUGGAAUAAUACCUGAUAACCCCGCGAAAUCGUAUGGUUUUGCGUGCAAAGGUUUACUGCCUCUGGAUCGGGAAACGUCCUAUCAGCUUGUUGGUGAGGUAAAGGCUCACCAAGGCUAAGACGGGUAGCGGGUGUGAGAGCACGGCCCGCCGCAUCGGGACUGAGACACUGCCCGGACUCCUACGGGAGGCUGCAGUAACGAAUAUUCCGCAAUGCGCGAAAGCGUGACGGAGCAAUGCCGCGUGAAGGAUGAAGCACCUCGGUGUGUAAACUGCUGUCAGAAUUUAGUAAUAAUGAACAAAUUCAAAGGAAGGACCGGCUAACUUCGUGCCAGCAGCCGCGGUAAUACGAAGGGCCCGAGCGUUGCGCGGAAUCACUGGGCUUAAAGGGUGUGUAGGCGGAAGCGUCAGUGUCUUGUGAAAGCCCACGGCUCAACCGUGGAAUUGCAGGGCAUACUGCGUUUCUUGAGUGUGGUAGAGGCUGUCGGAACUAUAGGUGUAGCGGUGAAAUGCGUAGAUAUCUAUAGGAACAUCGAAGACGAAGGUAGGCAGCUGGGCCAUUACUGACGCUGAGACACGAAAGCGUGGGGAGCAAACAGGAUUAGAUACCCUGGUAGUCCACGCCGUAAACGAUGUACACUAGGUUCGGGGAGCUCUGACGCUUUCCGGGCCGCAGAGAAAUCAUUAAGUGUACCGCCUGGGGAGUACGGUCGCAAGAUUAAAACUCAAAGGAAUUGACGGGGGCUCACACAAGCGGUGGAGCAUGUGGCUUAAUUCGAGGCAACGCGAAGAACCUUAUCCUGGGUUGAACUACGGCGGUUCAUCCAUGGAAACAUGGUGUCCUUCGGGAGACGUGCACAGGUGCUGCAUGGCUGUCGUCAGCUCGUGCCGUGAGGUGUUAGGUUAAGUCCUUUAACGAGCGAAACCCCUGUCGUUAGUUGCCAGCGAGUAAUGUCGGGGACUCUAGCGAGACCGCCGGUGUCAAAUCGGAGGAAGGUGGGGAUGACGUCAAGUCCGCAUGGCCUUUAUGCCCAGGGCUGCACACGUGCUACAAUGGCGGUACAGAACGACGCAAUACCGCAAGGUGGAGCAAAUCGCUUAAAGCUCGCCCCAGUUCGGAUUGCAGGCUGCAAUUCGCCUGCAUGAAGUUGGAAUCGCUAGUAAUCGCGGAUCAGCUACGCCGCGGUGAAUACGUUCCUGAGCCUUGUACACACCGCCCGUCAAGUCAUGGAAGCUGGCAGCGCCUUAAGUCGCCACGAUUCAGUGGUGCCCACGGCGAGGCUGGUGACUGGGACUAAGUCGUAACAAGG